GUACGGGAGGCAGCAGUGGGGAAUAUUGCGCAAUGGGGGAAACCCUGACGCAGCAACGCCGCGUGAGUGAUGAAGGCCUUCGGGUCGUAAAGCUCUGUCUUCGCUGACGAUAAUGACGGUAAGCGAGGAGGAAGCCACGGCUAACUACGUGCCAGCAGCCGCGGUAAUACGUAGGUGGCGAGCGUUGUCCGGAAUUACUGGGCGUAAAGGGUGCGUAGGCGGAAGCUUAAGUCAGAUGUGAAAUACCUGGGCUCAACUUAGGGAUUGCAUUUGAAACUGGGUUUCUAGAGUGCAGGAGAGGAAAGCGGAAUUCCUAGUGUAGCGGUGAAAUGCGUAGAUAUUAGGAAGAACACCAGUGGCGAAGGCGGCUUUCUGGACUGUAACUGACGCUGAGGCACGAAAGCGUGGGGAGCAAACAGGAUUAGAUACCCUUGUAU
rnacentral:rRNA from 1 species